AACUCGGUCUCCACUGCACUGCUGGCCAGACGAGGGAUGUUAUUUUGGGCAGUGCAUCUGGACUUGGUUCAAGUGGCACCAGCCAAAUCCCUGCCUUACUGACCUCUCCCCUGGAGGAGCAGGAGCAGUGCUCAAGGCCGCCCUGGGAGGGCUGAGAGGCAGGCUCUGGACUGGGGACACAGGGAUAGCUGAGCCCCAGCUGGGGGUGGAAGCUGAGCCAGGGACAGUCACAGAGGAACAAGAUCAAGAUGCGCUUUAACUGAGAAGCCCCCAAGGCAGAGGCUGAGAAUCAGAAGACAUUUCAGCAGACAUCUACAAAUCUGAAGGACAAAACAUGGUUCAAGCAUCUGGGCACAGGCGAACAUACAUAUGAUAGUUGAGAAAGACACAUAUUCUGAUCAUGAAGAAAUAAACACAAGUUAAAUAUGACUAAGCAGAAAGAUGGAAGGACCAGGAAUGGUGAUGCUAACUUGGAACCACGAUGCAGGCUCUAAACUCCUCUACAAUCAUCCUCCCUUGUGAGAAAAAUACUUGAUCUGAAGGUCCCAGCAAGGAGCCGACUCACAGAAGAAUGCAGUUUUCACAUCAUGAUGAUUUAAUCUUCCUUGACCUGAGCAAUUGACAACCCCAAUUCUCCAGAACCUCACCCGCCACAAUCCCCUUAAAAACCCUGGCCCAGAACCCCUCAAGCAGACAGAUGUGAAGCUUGAGGAUUCCUUCAUCUCUUUGCCCAAUGGCAUUGUGAUUAUUAAACUCUUUUUCUGCUGCAAA
rnacentral:lncRNA from 10 species